UGUGUGCGCAAGUUCACUGCGGCCGGCUUCAGUCGUGCUUUGCGGCAACAGCGCGCGCCUGAAAGCCUCCGUUGAAAGCUCCCCACCUCCCGCCUAUACUUGCAUACAAAAACCAUCGGUUUCGGCUCCACUGAUAAAUUUUUAAAGAAGACUUAAAACAUGGCUGCUCCAGAAGGACCCCCUGGCAUGCCACCGACGGAGCCGCAGACGGGCCCCGACGGGGAGAUCAUCGGCGGCCCGCGGAACAUGCAGCAGGUGGCCGCGCAACGUAGGCUUCAGCAGACGCAGGCGCAAGUUGACGAGGUGGUGGACAUUAUGAAAACAAACGUCGAAAAAGUCCUGGAAAGAGACGCGAAGUUAUCAGAGCUAGAUGACAGAGCCGAUGCACUCCAAUACGGUGCGUCGCAGUUUGAACAACAGGCCAAGAGUUUAAAGAACAAAUUUUGGCUUCAAAACCUUAAGAUGAUGAUAAUAAUGGGAGUGAUUGGAAUCGUCAUAAUAGGCCUGCUGUUUGGUGAUAACAUUAAACAAAUGUUUGGUUAGUUCGAUACCGUGGCACCCCGACUAUGACUGGCAUCCCAGCGGGUAUAUCGGGCAUAGCCAGCAAUAUCACUAUGUCCGCUAAUACUAUUCAUUGUGAGUAAUGUUAGUCCUUCUGUCUUUGCCACUUUGACUUCCUUCCUUCUUGAACUUACAAUAAUGCUUGCGCAUGAAUGAAGCUUUAAUUACAUGUUGCAUGGAACUGGUAAACCCAAGGAAAAUACAUGUAAGUUAUUUAUUCAUCGCGUCUGUUGGGUUCUACUUAAAUCGUGAAGCUGUCUUCAAAAUACAUGCUACGUAUAAACUAGAUACUUUAUAUUCUACUAUCUACUUGAUAAAUUAGGUAGCAUCUUUAGAAUCUAGAAUACCUAAAAAUGGAACAAAAUUUGGGGUAUAUAUCAACCUUAUGAAAUUCGUAUUACUUAGAUACUUAAAAAAUUUAAUACCUAUCAAAUUUGUAUUCAAAAGGUUAACAUGACGUUACCUAAAGCCAAACAAUUUGAAUGACUCUAAGGUACUAACUUUGUUACCCAUACAUACCAACUUAAGUACCCAUUUUAAUAUCUAUUAUUCUUUUAAUUGUUAUAAUAUAUGGGGAAGUAAAAAGAAUAUUAAAGAAAAUUCUCAAAAUUCUGCUAAUAUUUAAAAUUUAUUUGCGUGCCUUGUUCUAGGAUACUAUGUACAAGUCCUAAAUAAGUGUAACAUUUAUAGACCGACCGCUUAACUGAGGCCUCGCUUGCGCGGUACGAGGGCGACGGGGUGAGACGACUAAGGGUAACAUUCCAUUUCCAACGACAGCUGCAAUAUGGUCAAUUUUACUAUGGAAAUUGACAAUGACAGCGACGCGUUCAGUACUGGUAGUGCAGCUGUGGUUAGAAAUGGAAUGUUACCAUUAGGGUGGCGGGGAAGGUGCGGGCGGCAGGCAUACGGCGCGGCGCCUGCGAGGACUCAGUUAAGCGGUCGUACGGUCUAUAAGUUAUGAUUUGAGACCUCGCUGUGACGCUGCUUUAAUUUUGACUCUAAAUCGGCCUAUGAAUGCUCUAGAAGUUUCAAAGAGAUACUUAUAUUAGUGAGCGAGUUCUUCCAAACUUAGUGGAACCUUUAUCGAUAUUAAUAUAGCAUUAUUAUUAUAAUUCAAGUAUAAAAAUAGGAUUAUAUGAAUAAACAUGCUAUUAGUUGUUUGUUAAACAAUUCAAAAUGCAAUAAAAUACGAAAUGCAAAAUUGUGACACCAAAGUUAGCCGAAAUAGAAUAACAUGGAAUUGAAUUAUUAAGUGAUAGAUAUAUAGAAUUAAGGCAAACCCUGUUUAAUAUUUAGUCUCAUAAUAUAACAAGUACAAUACCUAUAAAAUUGCAUAUCCGCUCUUUACUAAUUGACAAAUUUAGUCGGAAUAUACAGGGUGAUUUCUGGGUCGUGAUCCAGAACCACUUUUUCUGACUCUGUAAAUGACCCACAUUAUCAUAUGGUAGUAUUUGAUUAAAAGAUAAUUACUUUAAUUAUUCUUAUUCUUCAAGUAAAAUUAAUGUUAUACUAAGUAAUUAUGGUCACCCUAUGACUUUUUACAUACGCUGUAUGGAAAGCGACAAGACGUCACGUUGAGUAGGGUCACCAAAUUGUAUUCAAAAAUGUUUUUUCCUACUAGUUAUCUGGAAAGUAAUCAUCAUUAUUGGUGAUAAACAAUAAUUAACAACACCAUUAGGCUCAUCUUUGUCUGGCUCUCUUGCUCCACGACCCCGAAAUCACCCUGUAUAAGUAGCUGUGGGAAAGAGAUGUGGACCUGCCGCCAGUUUAUGAAGCCUCUUGAAGUCAAUUAUUUGCAUGUAUAUGUUACACAUUAUUAAGGCUGUAUAAUGAUUUGCUAGUAUCAAAUGUCAAUUAGAAAUUUAUUUUAAAAAGUCAAAGAAAUCUGUACUUGAAGUAAAUUCAUUAGCGAUAAAACUUAACAUUAUUUGGAUUAAAAUGGACUGUAUUUACAAUUUUUGUGUAAAUCGUAGGGGUAAUUUUAAAGUUUGCUUUCAUUUAUUCUUGUGCCUUCAAUUUAUACGAAUUAGAUAUUUUCACCCUCCCAUGAGUUAGACGAUCUUAAGGGGCCCACUGAUUAACAGUCCGCCGGACGGUAUCGGCCUGUCAGUUAGAACAAAAUUUUGACAGUUCCGAACAACUGACAGGCCGAUACCGUCCGGCGGACUGUUAAUCAGUAGGCCCUUUAGAAUUCGAUUGUCAGUUAGUUUUGCAAUUAUUGUAGUACUUAGCUGUUAUUUGUUUUGAAAUAUUGAAUUAUAAAUUUAGAUGAAAAUUGUAAGUAUAGAUUAAUAAUAUGGUGCCAUUGACAAUAUUAGUUCUUUUAUAAUAACUGUGGAAUGAUGCGUGUAUUUACUGUAUCUAUAAAAUCUGACAUUUUAUGGUAUUCUACAACUUUUAACUUUUCGGUGUAGUGCAUAUCACAUAAUAUUAUAUAUAUUAAUUGAGUCUACCUUUAAAUGCACUUAUGUUUAACAGAUUAUUAUUAUAACAAUAUAGUAUAUCAACUGCGAUCAAAUUUUUAAGAAUACAUAUCUAGGGAUAUUUCUACUACCUACCUGAAAAGCCAAUGGAAAUUACAUUUCUUACAAGCAAUACGUUUCGAGGUGCCCCAAAACAAAAUAUCGAACCUAAAUUUGUAAAUACUGAAAUACUUCUUUAAAACUUUUCGACCUUCGUGUUGUUUUUAAUAACAAAAAGUCAUAUCAAUAAACAAAUUCAAUGUUUUAUAGAGUUAUACCUAUUUCUAUUACAAAUUUUUGAUUCAACGAAUAGAGAUAAAUACUUACAAUUUAAAUUUAUGACGUUGUGAUUGUACAUAUUUAAUCUUGGACUUAUUUUUGGCCUGAGACACUAAACUUUCAAAGGUGAAAACUCUUCUUAUUUUUUUAAUAUCUGCAAAGCAAGGGCGUCAUUUGACGACAUUUUCAUAGGUGUUUAUUAUAAAUAUGUAAUAGAAUACACGAAGUAAACAGUUUUAGGUUAUACAAUAAUGUGAUUAAAAUGAAUACACAAUGAAA